GAUGAAUAACGCAGCGAAAUGCGAUAAGUAGUGUGAAUUGCAGAAUUCAGUGAAUCAUCGAAUCUUUGAACGCACAUUGCGCCCCUUGGUAUUCCAUGGGGCAUGCCUGUUCGAGCGUCAUUGCUGCCUUCAAGCACGGCUUGUGUGUUGGGCCUCCGUCCUCCUCCCGGGGGACGGGCCCGAAAGGCAGCGGCGGCACCGCGUCCGGUCCUCGAGCGUAUGGGGCUUCGUCACCCGCUCUUGUAGGCCCGGCCGGCGCUUGCCGACACAUCAAUCUUUUUUCCAGGUUGACCUCGGAUCAGGUAGGGAUACCCGCUGAACUUAAGCAUAUCAAUAAGCGGAGGA
rnacentral:misc_RNA from 1 species